GACGGAGGCCCCGAGCGUUGUUCGGAAUUACUGGGCUUAAAGAGCGUGUAGGCGGGACUGUAAGUACUGUGUGAAAGCCCCGGGCUCAACCCGGGAAUUGCUUAGUAUACUACAGUUCUUGAGGCAGGUAGGGGUCACUGGAACCUUAGGUGGAGCGGUGAAAUGCGUAGAUAUCUAAGGGAACGCCUGUGGCGAAAGCGGGUGACUGGGCCUGUCCUGACGCUGAGACGCGAAAGCGUAGGGAGCAAACGGGAUUAGAUACCCCCGUA
rnacentral:rRNA from 1 species